UCAGCCCAAAAGGCAUUUAUAACAGAAAUGAAUUAUUCAUUAUCAGUUUCUUCACAUGGCAUCCGAGUUGGGUCCAUAUUAUUGACCCAUAUGUUUACCUCAAUCCCUCCUUUUCAUCCGUGCCCUAACUCUCACAUCGCGUUCUUGCUCACAUCACGUUCUUGACUUUUUGGCCAUCAUCUUCCUCCUCGCUUCUCCAUUGAUCUUCAACCAUCACCAUGACUGAUUUAGAUUCUUCUUCCAAUCAAUCCUUCACUUCCGUUCUUGACCUCAAUCAUCCUCUCUACCUUCAUCCCUCAGAUACUCAAGCUAUCACGCUCAUCGCUCAACCACUCACCGGCACUACCAACUACGGGAUAUGGAGUCGAGCUAUGCGGAUGGCUUUACAAGCGAAGAAUAAAAUCAGCCUAGUUGACGGAUCUUGCAGACGAGAUGCUCAGGCUGAGAAUCUCCGAGCUCAAUAGGACCGUUGUAAUGCAGUAGUUCUCUCUUGGUACUUUACCAAACUCAAGGAACUAUGGGAGGAGUAUGCCACUGUCGUACAUAUACCCACUUGUAAAAGCACCUCAUCAGUAGAAUACGCCAAGAACAUCCAAUAACAAUUUUUUUUUUAGUUUUGAUGGGGCUCAAUGAUUCUGAUCAACCCGUUCGCAGUCAGAUUCUUCUCAUGACUCCACUACUAUCAGUGAAUCAGGCCCAUGCAAUAAUCUCGCAAGAAGAAUCUUAGCGUUCUUUAACAUCGUCUUCUCAACCAUCUGAUUAUUCUGCCAUGGCAACUCGAGGCAAAGGAAGAUUUGGUAGGGGACGUGCUCGAAGUGAUAUUCCUAAUGAAUGCACUUAUUGUCGUAAAAGAGGACACACCAAGGACUCUUGCUAUCAUCUUGUUGGAAAAGAGGACACACCAAGGACUCUUGCUAUCAUCUUGUUGGUUUUCCAUCAAACUAUCAAGGAAGUAGAAAUUGUGGCAACCCAUAUAAACAAGAAACUCACAACGACGCUCUUGCUUCUCUUAAUGUGUCAGGACAACAGUGUGACUCAUCCACCAAACAAAAAAUGCUAUCUCUGAAGGAUUAUGAACGAAUCAUUGAGAAUCUGAAAAAGGAAAUUAAGACACUUUCACUAACAAAUACAAAAUCUGUUGGAACAGGAACUGUAAAGGACUCAGAGGAAUCUUCAAGUUUGAUUCCCACUACUUUAUCCUCCACACAUGAAUUACGUGCAUGCUGGAUUUUAGACUCAAGAGCAACUUGUCGUGUUGUGAGUAAUCUGUUUUACCUUGAUCACUAUCAAAAGUAUGUUGGAUCCCCUCUUCAUAUUGAAAUUCCUAAUUCAGCUAGAUUGCCUGUCACACAUGUUGGUGUUGUAGAUUAUUCUAUGAUGUUGUAUUAAACAAUGUUCUAUAUGCCUCAGGAAUUUGCUAUGAUUUAAUUUCUAUGUCUUGUCUUACAGAUGAAAAAGUGUCUUGUGGCUUUCUUUCCUAAUAUUUGUGUCUUACAGGGGCUCUACAGUGGUAGUAUGAAAGUGAUUAGUAGAAUCUAUUCUGGAUUGUAUAUUGUGGAUGAAAGCUCUCCCCUGUCUAAUGUUUUUCUACUAAACUAGCUAUCGAUAAUAUUAUUUGGCAUUUAAGAUUA